GACGAACGCUGGCGGCGUGCCUAAUACAUGCAAGUAGAACGCACAGUUUAUACCGUAGCUUGCUACACCAUAGACUGUGAGUUGCGAACGGGUGAGUAACGCGUAGGUAACCUGCCUGGUAGCGGGGGAUAACUAUUGGAAACGAUAGCUAAUACCGCAUAAUAUUAAUUAUUGCAUGAUAAUUGAUUGAAAGAUGCAACUGCAUCACUACCAGAUGGACCUGCGUUGUAUUAGCUAGUAGGUGAGGUAACGGCUCACCUAGGCGACGAUACAUAGCCGACCUGAGAGGGUGAGCGGCCACACUGGGACUGAGACACGGCCCAGACUCCUACGGGAGGCAGCAGUAGGGAACCUUCGGCAAUGGACGAAAGUCUGAACGAGCAACGCCGCGUGAGUGAAGAAGGUUUUCGGAUCGUAAAGAUCUGUUGUAAGAGAAGAACGGGUGUGAGAGUAGAAAGUUCACACUGUGACGGUACCUUACCAGAAAGGGACGGCUAACUACGUG
rnacentral:rRNA from 1 species